UUCCAUUAUGAAAACGAAACCUACUCCAUCGUGUCUCGGAAUGUUCGCGGGUUAGGUGAAAAUGACAAAUGUGCCAAUGUGUUCUCUGAAAUUAACCACUUGCGCCCAUCAAUCGCUCUACUCCAAGAAACUAAGCUACAAAAACCGGAUACAAUCAAACUGCGAUCUAUCUUGCCACGAUUCCUCGACUCUAACAACCACCUCGACGCAAUCGGAUCUGCGGGAGGAAUUCUUUCGGCCACUAACUCACGUUGCUUUACGCUUCUUAAUUGUCAACACACGCGUUUUACAUCUACCUUAACUCUCUCAUGCCUUGCCUCGCCACACAACAUCCUUAUCACAAACGUCUAUGCCCCCUCGCAAAGGGAUCUAAAACUAGAAUUCCUUGACGAACUUAAACAGCUCGAACCACCACCUCAAUCUCCCUGGCUCCUAAUCGAAGAUUUUAACCUAAUCCGCUUCCCUAAUGAAAGAAACAACAACAAUUUUCGACGACCUGAGGCCGACGCCUUCAAUGACACCAUUGAUCAACUUGCACUCCUAGAGCUCCCUCUUCUCGUCCGCCAAUUUACUUGGUCAAAUAAAAGGAUGUCACCUACGCUAACACUAGAUAGAGUUCUUAUCAACCUGUCUUGGGAUGCUCUAUUCCCCAACUCGCACCUUACUUCUCUUACUCGAUUCGCCUCUGAUCAC
rnacentral:rRNA from 1 species